GUAUCUAAAAGGGUGUCAUCAGGAAGAGGGAGAAAACUUGUUCACCUUAGCCUCUAAUGAUAGAACAAGAAGCAAUGGGCUUAAACUGCAGCAAGGGAGGUUUAGGUUGGACAUUAGGAAAAAGUUCCUAACUGUCAGGGUAGUUAAACACUGGAAUAAAUUGCCUAGGGAGGUUGUGGAAUCUCCAUCUCUGGAGAUAUUUAAGAGUAGGUUAGAUAAAUGUCUAUCAGGGAUGGUCUAGACAGUAUUUGGUCCUGCCAUGAGGGCAGGGGACUGGACUCGAUGACCUCUCGAGGUCCCUUCCAUCCCAAGAGCGAACAACCCCCAAAACAAAGAGCACAAACAAAGACUUCUCUCUACCAAGAUCUGAAAGUAUCUUGUCCCCCCAUUGGUCCUCUGGUCAGGUAUCAGCCAGGUUUACUGAGCUUCU